CGUUUUCACAUCUGCAAUUUGGUACCCUGGUUUGAUUUCCUGAAGCGUUAGUGAGAAUUCUACAGGAUACGUUUUGCUUUCACAAGACCCGUGAUUCCCCUGGGCGUAGCAACACCCAAAUUCUACACUCUAAAAAUUAGGGGUUCAACAAGGGUUCCUCUAAGAUCCUCAAAGUUCUUCGAAGAACCUGAGGGUUCUUGGCACUGAAAAUGGCCCCCAAAAUGUUCUUCCAAGAACCCCAUAGGAGGUGGGGUCCAUUGAGGAACCUCCUUAGUUGGUGGAGGUUCUCGCAGGAAUCUAACUGCCCAACUGAAAUAUUUUGAUUUGAAAAGAUAGCAGGUGCAGACACUUAACUGAAAAAUGUAAAGAUCUUCUCAAUUUAAGAAAAUGGACACAAUUCAAUGGAUUUCAAUCGACAAAGAGGUAUACAGACGAGGAGGCAUACAAAGGAUUCACAGACUUAACCCUCCCUACACCUCUGAAUAUAACAGGAAACCUGUUCGAUCACCAUGCACUACAAAACCAUUCUGGCUAUGGAUACGGAGAACAUCAACACAUUAAUAUCAACAUGCCAGAGAAUAUACCCAUUGGACUUGGGGCUCUGCUGGGAGAUUACCUCAUAUUUAGAUUGUUUUAUUCUGCUUUUUAUUCUGCUUUCACAUAUGCUUUAUUGCACAGAUCAUAAGAUGAUAUGUGAAAGCCCCUCUGAGUCUACUUUUAAAGUGGAACUGACAGAGU